UUGUGGAGGAGGACGCCGAAGGUGGGGCUAAUGACUGGGGUGAAGUCGUAACAAGGUAGCCGUACCGGAAGGUGCGGCUGGAUCACCUCCUAACAGGGAGACAACAAAAUGUUAAUAUUAUUAUUUUGUCACCUUAGGUCGAUCGGUAUCUCACGUUCUUAAUUAAUUAAGAAUUUCAAUUUCUAAGUUUUUCUAGGUCACACCCAUUAUUUUUCCUGGGCCAUUAGCUCAGGUGGUUAGAGCGCACCCCUGAUAAGGGUGAGGUCCCUGGUUCAAGUCCAGGAUGGCCCAUAUCUCUAUGUUGGGGGUAUAGCUCAGUUGGUAGAGCGCCUGCUUUGCAAGCAGGAUGUCAGCGGUUCGAGUCCGCUUACCUCCACUGAUUACCACCUCUUCCAUAAUUUGUAGAAAGGAAAUGCUUUGAGUUGUGAUCAAAUUCUGAACGAAUCUAGCUUCCUAAUGAAAGUAUUAAGAUGCUGGACUCAUUGAAUUAAUUUCAUUGUUUUCAGAGAACCUUGACAACUGCAUAGAUUAUUUUUUAAAGACAAUAAGCAUCUUUAAUGAUGCAGAUUUAUUAUUUGUGCAAAUGCAUUAAUAACAAUUCUAUUAAGCUGAUGCUUCAAUUUUGAAGUUAUUGGUCAAGCUACAA
rnacentral:misc_RNA from 1 species